GAAGCAGAAAAGAAAGAUCGGGGACCUCACAACAGUAAGAGAGGAGCCGGGCACUGUGCUCCUGGGCUUCAGGCUCUAAAACCAACAGCUUCCAGUUCUCCAGCAGUUACUGGAACAUCCAGGCCCUAGGGUGGUGAAAUGAGCCCAGCUUUGAAACCAGAUGGAUCUGGAUUCAAAUUCUAACUCUGUUACUUCUUGAUUAUGAGGCUCUGGGCAAGGCACAUGCUUUCCGAGUAUCAGUUUUUUUUCAUCUGCAAGCUGCAGAGCUAUUGGAUGGGUGAGGACAAUAUGGAAAAUGCCUGUCAGUCAGAAAGUGACCACUGCAGCUACUGUUACUGGUUUGACUCUGGGCAGUGAGCUGCUAGCUCAGUUGGAAGGAGCACUGUGUGAAUGAGGCCGCCGGGGUGGGGUCACUGUCACUUAGCUAGAUCCAGGCCACAGGCUGUGCUGGACCUCUCUCUUCAGAGGAGAGAGCCAGAAGGGAUGAAAGCAUGGUCCCUGGUCUUCAAGAACUUUAGAGCUUAGCAUGGAACCAGGCUUCCCACUAGAAAAAUCGCUUAAGGUGCACCCUUGUGGUAGGCUGCUGGCAUGAGUUCUGUUGAAGCAUUUGUAUUGAACCUGGGCACUGUGACAGAAGGAUGGGAAGGUGCUUACGUUCAUUUCCCUUCCUCCCAGUGCCUCUCUUCCCUCACUCCAUCAUUUUAGCCCCUCUGCCUGCAAUAUUUCCCUUCCGUGCCCCCGGUAACUGUGAUGCAUGGCAAAUGGGCUGGCUCAGUAGCUGUGUGGGGCAACUUUCUCAGCACACAGCUGCCCCCAGACACUUUCAGGGUGCACUUAUUCUCCCUCCCUUUCCACUCCCAACCGCUCUGCUCCCUUCUCUUCUUACACAGAUGAAGCAAAGGGAAGUGCCCUCCGGAGGCCCUAGGUUGGGGAGACGGGGUAAGGGGUGGAACCCAGGACACAGAGUUGAGAUGGGGUGAGGGGUAGAGGCAGGUAAAGAACGAAAUCUUAAUUCUCAUUUCAGUGACAUUUUCCUCAACUUUUCCUGUCCUUCCCCAUCAGGUUGUUAGCCAGGGGCCUGAGGAGGGAUAAAGGAACUGCAGUCCCGGCUCCCUCCAUCAGGAAGAAUGUCUGGGGUGUUGGCCUGGAACGCUGAUGAGUUGAUUUCCUUCUAUCUCCACAGCAUAGGUUUACCAGGGAGAAAAGAAAGAUAUUAAAGCCAUGACAGCAAACAGCCCCUUUCUCCUAAGGUUCCUGAUUUGAAGUGGCAAAACAAGGCAGUGGCAUAGUCUCCUGUCCUAUGUCCUUGGCAUGCAGCCUCCACCCAGCUCUGGCUGCAGAGGGCCGCACUCCGCUUGUACCGCAACUCAUGCACAGUCCAGACUUAUACAGCAGCCGGCAACCCUGAGGGCAGGAUGAUUCCGAGACACACCAAAUCUGUGCUUCUAAGAAGCCUGGGCGAGCAUCCUUACUAUGAGCCCAUGAAACCACAUGGAUCUGUCCCAGCAUCCAAGCCUCCAGUCAGACACAGCUGGAGCAGCACACAAGCAAGACCAGAGACCAGCCGCUCGGCCAGCCCCCAGAACUGGUCUCGCUCUGUUGCCCAGGCUGGAGUGCAGUGGCAGUAUCUCGGCUCAUUGCAGCCUUGACCUCCUAGGUUCAAGCGAUCCUCCCACCUCAGCCUCCCAAGUAGCUGGAACUACAAACGCACACCACCACACCCAGCUGAAAAUGUUAUGUUUUUAUCACUAUUUAAAAUAAAAUAUAUGUUUUAAGAACACUAAAAAAAAAAGUCAUGAUUCCUUCUCAUUUCCUAGACCUGAGACAUUUUUCAGACCUGAAAUCUAUUGAAUGGGAAAAUGUGACAGAGUCCCCGAGAGGAAGGUCCCUGCAACAUCACAGCAAGUGUGCACUGUAAUAAUUCCACCAGUCCUGGGUGACUGUCGCCUGGGAGAGGAGGAAUAUCCAGACAUGUUGAAGACUACUAGACACAGGGCCUGAAAUGACACUGAUAUUCAAAGACCUGAAAUGUCAUUAUGGCCCCUGUUACAAUGAUGGGCUAUAGGUCAGGUAAAAUGGGGAUUCUGGCUGAUGUCCAGCUUCAAGUGGGUCCACCGGGGCCAUGGCUCCACCUGGUGGUCAUUGCCCCAGUCCCUGAAUGUAUAACUGGGAUUGGUAUAUUCAGCAGUUGGGGAAGCCCCGAUAUGGGGCCCCCUGCUUUAUGAUAUAAGAGCUAUCGUGUGGGGAAGGUCAGUGGAAGCCUCUGAAAUUGUGUCCGUCCCCCUUCACCCAGCCAAGAUAGCAAAUACAAAAUAAUAUCUCAUUCCAGAGGGAAGAUAGAGAUCAUUGCCACCCUUAAGUACCUCAAGGAUGCAAGGAUUGUGGUCUGUGUCAUACCUCUGUUUAAUUCACCAGCCUGGCCCCUGCAGAAAACACAUGGAUCCUGGGAAAUAACCAUAGACGAUUCCUAGCUCAGCUCAAGCCCCGAGUGAUCAUGCAGGGUGUGGUGUCAUUGCUAGAUUAUAUAAAUAUGGCUUCAAGUACAUGACAUUUGGCCAUUGAUUUGGCAAAUGCAUUCUUCUUUAUCUCGAUCAAGAAAGAGAAUCAGAAACAGCAUUCACAUGGACUGGAUGACAAUAUUCAUUUAGAUUCCCCGGCCCCCAGGGUUGUUGUUAACUCUCCCAAUCUAUGUCAUGAUACAUUCAGAAAAGAUCUAGAUCAUCUGGACUUCCCACAGAAUAUCACAAUGCUCCAUUCAUCAAUGACAUUAGGCUAAUUUGGGAGAAUAGCAAGAGGUGGCUGGCACCUGAAAGCCUCGGGAAGACACAUGCACUCUAGAAAAUGAGACAUAAACUCUCUGAAGAUUCCAGGGCUUGCCCCUCCCAUAAAGUUUUUUGGAAUCCAGUGGUAAAGGGUGUACUAGGACGUUGCCUCUGAAACAAAAGACAAAAUGCUGCAUCUUGCAUGCACAAAGAAGGAACUAAAAUGCCUGGAGGGUUCUGGCAGCAAACAUAUUCCAUGUCUGGGAAUAGUGCUCCAGCCUGUAUUCUAGAGGGUGCAGCUUUGUGUGGGCCUGGGGCAGGGAUAUAGAGCCUGAUCAACAAAAGGAGCUAGAACUGCUCUUGGACAAUAAGGCAGGAAUAUGUGUGAAACUCAGGUCAGCCACUUGAGCACCUCUUGAUGAUACCCUUCAUGCCCAAUGGUGACCUGAAUGGCAAGUGCAGCCCAGCCUGUGAAGGGUGACGUGAUCAGGGACUCAGAGCCUCUCAGGAAUCAGGGUUGUGCUACGCCACCUGGUAGGCUAUCGAGACCAGCAGAAAUGACAGUGGUGUCAUCUCUAGCAGAGAGGGAGAGUGGAAUUUAGAAUGGAUAAUGGAGGAGGGAAAUGAUGUUACCUAUUGCAAGACCAACUGCAGCAACAGCCUGUGGUUAACCCACUGACCUCCCUUAACUAAGUCCCUUCAAGAAAAGAGCCCAUUGAAACCCCGGAAGAGCUACCCCUCAAUGUGUGUGGAAAGUAGAUCCACAUGGUACAAAAGGAAGACUGUGGUAGCCAUGAAGUUGCCCCACUUGGAAUUGUCUUCAAGAAAGAACUUGCUGCUCAGCUGCAAGGAGGACAGUUAGCUGUCAGCCUCCAGCUGUUAGUGCUGAGGGAUCUGUCUCAGUUUUCCAGCCAAGGCACACUGCUCUCAGCAGGCUCUGGCCAGUAACUGAGCAGAGUGGAGGGGUUCUUAGGGCCUGAACAUUUCUGCCCUAUGCGAACCCCUCUAAUGAAAUACCUUUGCUCUGGAGUUCCCCAAUAUGUUGCCCAAGAUUCUAUCUGCAUUUCAGUCUGAGGCUCUCCUUGUUGAACCCUGCUUCCUGUCCCCUCUCAUAGGCACUCCCUCUUAGGCCUCUUACACUCCUCAUUCAGUAUCUGCUUCCCAGAGGAGGCAGCUGACAAACGUUUCUUCCUCUUGUCUUCCCCAUCCCCAACAUCUAAUCCAUCAGCAAGUCUUUUUGGUUCUACCUUAAAGCAUAGCUGGAAUAUGACCAUUUCUCCAUCUCUCCUCUGCCAGCUCCUUCCCUACAUAGUCUGGUGAUGUCUCUUUGCCUCCCCUCAUCCCCAUUCAGCAGCUGGAGUGUCUUCUUGUAUGUGUGUGGGUGUUUUUGUUUUUGUUUUGUGUGUGUGUGUGUGUGUGUGUGUGUGUGUGUGUGUGACAGAGUUUCGCUCUUGUUGUCCAGGCUGGAGGGCCAUGGUGUAAUCUUGGCUCAUCACAACCUCCGCCUCCCAGGUUCAAGUGAUUCUCCUGCCUCAGCCUCCCGAGUAGCUGGGAUUACAGGUAUAUGCGCCAUCAUGCCCGGCUAAUUUUGGUUUUUUUUUUUUUUUUUUUUUUUAGUAGAGACGAGGUUUCUCUAUGUUGGUCAGGCUGGUCUUGAACUCCGACUUCAGGUGAUCUGCCAGCCUCAGCCUCCCAAAGUGCUGGGAUUACAGGUGUGAGCCACCACGCCCAGCCUGGAGUGUCUUCUUAAAGCAGUUCAUGUCACUUUACUUAAAACCAUCCUAAUUUCAUGUCACUCUUAAAAAUCCAAAUAUUUUCUUUGGCAAAUAAGGCCCUUCUCUGCCAAGCACAGUGGCUCAUGCCUGUAAUCCCAGCACUUUGGAAGGCUGAGGCAGGCAGAUAGCUUGAGCCCAGGAAUUUGAGACCAGCCUGCACAACAUGGCAAAACCUCAUCUCUACUAAAAAUACAAAUAAAUGGCCAGGCGUGGUGAUGCAUACCUAUAGUCCCAGCUACUUGGGAGGCUGAGGUGGGAGGACCACUUGAGCCUGGGAGGUCAAGGAUGCAGUGAAUCAAGAUAGUCCCACUGCACUCCAGUCUGGGCGACAGAGUGAGAGCUUGUCUCAAAAAAGAAAAAGGGGAAAAAAAAAAGAUCCUUCUUCUUCUGACUCAUGCAUAUCUCCAACCUUAUCCCCAGGCCAGACACACAGAUCUCUUUUCUGUUCUGUACACACGCCAGCUCUUUCCCACCUCAGGACCUUUGCCCUUGCUAUUCCUUCUGCCUAAAAUACCCUUGUUCUCUUUUUUAACUUCUUUAUCCAAACAUCAGUUCUUAUGAGCCUUCUCUGGCUGCUCUGUCUUGAGAGGCACCCCUUCCAACAGAAUUGUUACCUUAUCAUUCUGCUUCCAUCACAACAAUGACCACAGUCUAAUUAUUCUCCUCAGUUGCCUCUUUAUUUUCUCUCUCCCUGGGUAGAAUAGAAGCCCGCACAGGGCGGGGCCCUGACUUAUCUCCCCAACACCUAAACUCAAUCUUUAUUUGUGUAAUGAAUGAUUGAAGAAAGCCUUACCUAACACAUGUACAUCUCCACCACAUUAUCCCCACCAUUUAGUUCCAUUGUAAUAAAAGUAAUACCUUUUGAUGGUCCUUUACAGUUUUAGAUAGCAUGUUCUUGUUUGCCAUCAAUAGCUCUCUCACACACACACUAUUUAAUUUUUGAUCUUCAUAAUUAACCCUGUGAAGAAAAUAGGACAAGUAUGACCCCCAAAUUAAGGAUUAGAAAAAUUGAAGCCGGCCAGGCACGGUGGCUCACGCCUGUAAUCCCAGCACUUUGGAAGGCCGAGGCGGGUGGAUCACUUGAGGUCAGGAGUUUGAGACCAGCCUGGCCAACAUGGUGAAACUCCAUCUCUACUAAAAAUACAAAAAAAAUUAGCCGGGCGUGGUGGCGGGCACCUAUAACCCCAGCUACUCGGGAGGCUCAGGCAGGAGAAUCACUUGAACCCGGGAGGCUGAGGUUGCAGUGAGCUGAGAUCGUGCCAUUGCACUCCAGCCUGGGUGACAGAGCAAGAAUCUGUCUUAAAAAAAAAAAAAAUGAAAUCGAGAGAAGUAACCAAGCUAGAAAGUGUCAAAAAGUGUCAAAAUCAAAAUCUAAAAGCAGGCUUUGGGAAAUGCAGUGAUGUCUGACCCCAACUGCCUGGAUUCAGGCCAGACUUCACAGGGUAAGGAACAGUCCUCCACUUCAGGCCACUCUCACUUCAGAUACCAGUAGCCAGUUCAGGGGUUGGUUCCACUACCCCUGCAGGUUUGAUAAUUUGCUACAAUGACUCACAGAACUCAGGAAAGCACUAUACUUAUGAUAAAUUAAACUUUUAUUGCAGCAAAAGGGUACAAAUCAGAACCAGCCAAGAGAAGAGAUACAGAGGGCAAAGUCUGGGAAGAGCCACACGGGAAGCUUUGGGCACCUUCUCCUGUGGAGUUCCAGACAUCACUGCCCCUCCCAGCUACGAGGUGUGGCAGUGCUUGCGAGUGCUGCCACCAGGAAAGCUUGCCCGAGUCUUUGGUGUCCAGAGCCCUUGCUGGAGCUUGACCACAUGCUGCCUGCAUGACUGACCUUUGCUCUCCAGUCCCUAUGGGGGCUGGAACUGAUAUGGCGUGUUUCAGAGCCCCCAUUAUAAAUCACAUCAUUUGAGCAUCUGGUGGCCAAACUCCUCAGGCAAACAAUGACAUUCCUAUUGGGCAGGACAUUCCAGAGGCCUAGAGAUCAUCUCCCAGUAGCCGAGGGCCAAAGCCAGACCUCUCUUUGGUUGGCUUCAGGUCACAUGUUGCUCUGGAGAACCGGGAAGGGUGAGCAGACACCAAUCAUGACCCCAAACAGCAAGAGGACAGAAGGAUCCCCCCUACUCCACAGCUUGACGGCAGAGCAGUGACCAGAAUAUAUGCUCAGGAAGGCCAAAGAGAUGAAGCCGCAGCUGCCUCUUUUUUUUUUUUUUUUUUUUUUUUUUUUUUGAGACAGUCUCAUUCUAUUGCCCAGGCUGGAGUGCAGUGGUGCAAUCUCAGCUCACUGUAACCUCCACCUCCCAGGUUCAAGCAAUUCUCGUACCUCAGCCUCCCAGGUAGCUGGAACUAUACAGGUGCACCAUCACACCCGGCUAAUUAUUUUUUGUCUUUUUUUGUAGAGAUGGGGUUUCACCAUGUUGGUCAGGCUGGUCUCGAACUCCUGGCCUCAGGUGAUCCACGCACCUCCGCCUCCCAAAGUCCUGGGAUUAGAGGCGUGAGCCACCGUGCCCAGCCAGGCUUGCUUCUCUGAGCCAUACCGUUCUGUUGGAACAAGCAUCCUUUCUAUUAAAAGCAAUAAAUCUCCUCUUAUUUAAGUGGCAGAUGGUUUAGAUUGUUACUUUUGCUUUCAGCAAUCCUCUAGAAAAAGAAGGAACUUUAAGGUUGAGAACUAACUUCUAGCAGCUAUGCAGAGGUUCUGAGAGGUGACUCGUGUUUUUUACAUCAAGACCUCCACAAAGGCCCCUUCUGUCAUUGAGUCAAAGUUCUAGCGACCUAGGUUCAUCCUCAAAUGUGUAAUGAAAACCUGUGAAUCACUUGGACUCCACUUCCCCUCCCACCCUGGGUCCUCCACCCCACCUUGCUUUGGUUUUGCUUGGGGAGAAAGUGUUCUCUACACAAUAUGUCUCUCUCCCUAUCAGUCUGCAGGAUGCUCAGCAGGGGCACUCCCUGAACAUGCCUGCUCCCACAGCAUGUGCAAAGGCUUCACACUUGGAUUGAGGGUUAUACAUUUCUUCAUGGACAUCCCCAAACAUCACAGAACAGAGACAAGGUUUCUGGUCGUUUUGGAAUGUCCACACCAUUCCCAUUCUUCAAAAUCUGUCACACUUCCAGAUAGUUCCAGUGAACAAUGAACUCUCCCCCUAUGCAGUAACAGUUGAUUAUUCAAUUUAACACUGAAUUAUAUAUUCUCUGGAACUGUUCUCUAACAACUAUGAGGCGUUUUCAACGGUAGUUGAAUGGAAAAAUACCAAACUGGGAGUAAAAAGAUCUGGCUUCCAGGCCAGGCGCUGUGGCUCAUGCCUGUAAUCCCAGUACUUUGGGAGGCUGAGGCGGGCGGAUCACCUGAGCUCAAGAGUUCGAGACCAGCCUGGACAACAUGGUGAAACCCUGUCUCUACUAAAAAUAGAAAAAUUAGUCAAGCGUCAUGGUAGGCGCCUGUAAUCCCAGCUGCUCGGGAGACUGAGGCAUGAGAAUCGCCUGAACCUGGGAGGCGGAGGUUGUAGUGAGCCGAGAUCGGGCCAUUGCACUCCAGCCUGAGCGACAGAGCAAGACUCCGUCUCAAAAAAAAAAAAAAAAAAAAAAAGAUCUGGCCUCUCAAGAGGCCGCCACUAACUCUCUGUGUAACCUUGAGCAAGCCAAUGUUCUGGGCCUUGGUGCUCCCUGCAGGGUAAGAGGAGGACUGCCGAUCUCUAAGGAUCUUCCGUGGUCUAUGGGUUUAUGACUCAAAACUCCUCAAAGUGCAGGAACACAAGCCACAUCCCUUCUCAAGGCCAGACACAUACUAGGAGCUCUAUUAAUACCUGAAUAAAAACCACGGAUGAAGAGCUUGCCUGGCCCUGGCAUUUCUAUACCAAACCAACACACCAUGGAUCAUUGUGUCUUCCCUGGGACAGACCCUCAGAGCCUACAAGUGAGUCUACAACUUCACUGAUAUAGAUCUAUUAUUCCUUAGCUUAGACUUCCAUCUCUCCAGAUCAGCCUUCAGGAAAACUAGGAAACUAUCAAUAAUGAUUUCAAUUGUCGGCUUCAAAUUCACCUUAUUUCUUCUACCCCAGCAUGCCUUUUUUGUGGCAGCACUUAGAUUCUCAUUCAGAAAACAAACGCAUUCAUGCCGUACCAGUGAUUUGUUGGGGAAACUGCCUCAGCCCCACCACCCAGAUCCCCCACGUUCCUACCAAGUAAGCCAAGUGACCAUGUGAAGAACUGACUGACACCCAGAGGAAACUAAUAAACAAAAACAAAUAAAAGCAAAUACCUUUCCAGGAAUCUCACUUGGAAAACCAAGUAUAAUGGCAAAAAACAACCAAAAAAAAAAACCCGAAUGUUUUCAGCUUUGGGGAUGUUGGGGGUGUAGACAUCUAGAGAGCUGGUUUCCGAAGGCACCGCACCUCAGACAAUGUGCUACAAGAGCCUCCCGGCUGCUGUGUCAAUGAAGCCUUUCAGGCCCUCCACACUGCUUCACUUGUUCCCUAAAGUAGUGCUUUCUGGAAGCUAAACUCUCAGCUGGCAAGAACAGUGAACUCUGUGCCAUUUGUCUAUCAACUCCUUUAAAAAGAAAAACCUCCUGUACGGCUCUCUUGUUUUGCAUUUUCUAUUCUGCACUCCAGUACGCAUAACGACACACAGAAGAGGCAAGGGCCUCUUUUAAAACCGUGAAGAAAGAAUAAAUUUGAAAGCACCCAGAAGCCUCUGCUUUCAGCUAUUAGAGAAAAGUUUGCAUCCCAUAGAAACCAGCACUAAUUAAAAAAAAAAAAAAACUCAGUCCUCAACCCUGGGAAUCAACAAUAAGGGACUCUUCAGGGUGUGGAGUAACAAAAAAAUUUAAAAACAAAAAAUAAAUGUGCACAGCCCAUCUAUCUUUUCCCAAUCAAAUAAUACAGCCUUCCAAAAUGUAAAAAUAGAAAUAUUUUCACAUGUGAAUUUUACUUCAAUAAAGUAAUUUUUUAAAAAUCUUUUUAGCCAGGCACAGUGGCUCAUGCUUAUAAUCCCAGCAUUUUGGGAGGCCGAGGCAGGCAGAUCACGAGGUCAGGAGUUCAAGAUCAGCCUGGCCAAGAUGGUGAAACCCCAUCUCUACUGAAAAUACAAAAAAUUAGCCAGGCGUGGUGGUGCACACCUGUAAUCUCAGCUACUCGGGAGCUGAGGCAGGAGAAUCGCUUGAACCCAGGAGACAGAGGUUGCAGUGAUCCAAGAUUGAGCCACUGCACUCCAGCCUGGGUAACAAGAGUGAAACUCAGUCUCACAAAAAAAAAAGAAGAAGAAGAAGAAAACAGGAAGUGCCUUCCAUAAUUCCAAAUACAGUAUUGUUAAAUAUUAAUGUAUUAUAUCCAAAUAGUUCAGUGAAUUUCAAGCUUUCAUCCAGAUGAAUGGAGUUCUUCAUAUUCAUUCAACUAAUAAAUAUUCCUUGAGCAUCUACUACAUGCUAGGCAUUUUUACAAGUAAAAACAAAAGUAGACAAAAAUUGCUGUCUUUAUGGACUCUAUAUUCUAGUAGAAGGCAGAAAAGCCAGUGACCGAUAAAAGCCAGUGACCAACACUUGUGUUUUUUAGCUGACUUAUUCUUGGGUAUUUAAAAGAGAUCUUGGGCCGAGCAGUGGCUCAUGUCUGUAAUCCCAGCAUGUUGGGAGGCCGAGGCGGGCGAAUCAUCUGAGGUCAGGAGUUCGAGACCAGCCUGGCUAACAUGGUAAAACCCCAUCUCUACUAAAAACACAAAAAAUUAGCCAGGCGAGUUGGCGCACGCCUGUAAUCCCAGCUACUCGGGAGGCUGAGGCAGGAGAAUUCCUUGAACCUGGGAGGCGGAGGUUGCAAUGAGCUGAGAUUGCGCCAUGGCACUCUGGCUUGGGCAACAAGAGCAGAACUCCGUCUGAAAAAAAAAAAAAGAUCUUGAAGUUCAAAAAUUAUACGAGUCUGUUAUUUUCCUAGUCUUUUCUCCACUCCAAAGAAAGAUAAACCUAAUUGGUAUUCCUUACCACUACAACAAUCAGGACCACUGAAGUGAGAGGGAAGGAAGCUAUACAAGGAUGUAUUUAAAGCUCAUUACUUAAACAAAAUGAAAACAUAAGAUCCAGAGAGUUCUUUUUAUGUUCGUUUAAGAGCUUCAGAAAGGCUGGGCAGGCUGGCACAUGCCUGUUGUCCUAGCUACUCGGGAGGCUGAGGCAGAAGGAUAGCUUAAGCCCAGGAAUUUGUAUCCACCCCAGGCAACAUAGUGAGGCCUCAUUAAAAAAAAAAAGGAAAGAAAAAAGGGUUUUAGAAAAUAUAAUCUGAUGCACAGAUUAUAGAGUUUUGCAUUUUUAAAAAAUAGAUCUAAUUGAUAAGACAGCAAAAAAUGAAUAUGUGGAACCCAGCAAUUUCAUUCCACGUACACACUAGAGCAGUAAUCAGCAAACAUUUUCUGCAUAGAAUUAGAUACCAGAUAUUUUAGGCUUUGCACGCCAUCCAAUCUCUGUUACAACCACUCACUAGGCCUGAAAACGGCCUUAGGUAAUAUAUAAAUGCAUGAGCAUGGCUGUUCCAAUAAAACUUUACUUAUGGACACUGAAACUUGAAUUUUCAUGUGUCAUAAAAUAUUAGUCUUUCCAUUUUUAAAAGCCAUUCAGAAAUGUAAAAAACACCUUAGUGUCUGGGUCAUAACAAAAAAAAGGUGGAGGGUCCACGGGCCAGACCAUGGUUUGCCAAUCCCUGCUCUAAAGAACUCUUACAGGCCAGGCACAGUGGCUCGCGCCUAUAAUCCCAGCACUUUGGGAGGCCAAGGUGGGCAGAUCACAUGAGGCCAGGAGUUCAAGACCAGCCUGGCCAACAUAGUGAAACCUUGUCUCUACUAAAAAUACAAAAAUUAACUGAGUGUGGUGUCGCGCAUCCGUGGUCCCAGCUACUUGGGAGGCUGAGGCACGAAAACCGCUUGAACCCAGGAGGCAGAUGUUGCAGUGAGCCGAAGUCGUGCCACUGCAUUCCACCCUGGGUGACAGAGCAAGACUCUGUCUUAAAAACAAACAGACAAAAAGAACUCUCACAUACACAUAACUCAACUACACAUGAGAAUGUUCAUAACAUCAUUAUGUGAAUUAGCAAGUAUGCAGAUACCAAAAAUGUUGGUAGACAAAAACUGGAGUUACAUGUAUCAACCAACAUGGAUGAUCUUACAAACCUAUUUAAGAGAAAACACAAAUUACAGAAGAACAGUUACAACGUCAUUUAUAUACAAAUUUUAAAUAUGCAGAAAUUAUAUAUUACUGAGCAUAUUUAACAUAUAUAAUAAAAGUCUGAACAGGCCAUGCGCAGUGGCUCAUGCCUGUAAUCCCAGCACUUUGGGAGCUGAGGCAGGUGGAUCACUUGAGGUCAGGAGUUCAAGACCAGCCUGGCCAACAUGGCGAAACCCCAUCUCUACUAAAAAUUCAAAAAUUAGCCAGGUGUGUUGUCACGCACCUAUAACCCUAGCUACUCAGGAGGCUGAGGCAGGAGAAUCACUGAACCCGGGAGCCAGAGGAUGCAGUGAGCCGAGAUUGUGCCACUGCACUCCAGCCUGGGUGACAGAGUAAGACUCUGUCUCAAAAAACAAAAAGGAAUGUUCCACAUCAAACUCAUUUACCUGGGAAUGAUGUCAGGGGGAGGCAGGAGAAGGAUACAACUGGAGAAGGGUGCACAGGGGGCUUCAACUGCAUUGUUGAUGUUUCAUUUUUUAAACUGACAAGUCGAUCAAUGUCCAUUCUUGAUACCACUGUGUACCUUAAAUAUUUAAUAAUAAAUAAAAAGAAAUGUGCAGUUUUGGGGUUUUUUUUGUUUUGUUUUUUGUUUUUUUAGAUAGAGUCUCGCUGUGUCACCCAGGCUGGACUACAGUGGCGUGAUCUGGGCUCACGCCCAGAUCCUGAGUAUCUGGGACUACAAGCGUGCACCACCACGCCUGGCUAAUUUUUGUAUUUUUAGUAGAGUUUUACCAUGUUGGCCAGGCUGGUCUCGAACUCCUGACUUCAAGUGAUCUACCUGCCUUGAUCUCCCAAAGUGCUGGGAUUACAGGCAUGAGCCACUACGCCCAGCCAGGAAUGUGUAGAUUUAAUGUGAAUUUAGCAAAUGGUUUGUCCUAUUUGAGGGCAGAGGUGAGGUCAGCUUAUAUUAACAUAUCCAAAAACUUGGUUUGAGCCCAGAUUUCUGACACUAAAAACAAAAAAUGCCCCAUUUGUUUCUUUUCUUUCUUUCUUUCUUUCUUUUUUUUUAGAGAUGGAGUCUCGCUCUGUCGCCUAGGCUGGAGUGCAGUGGGGCAAUCUUGGCUCACUGCAAGCUCCACCUCCCGUGUUCACGCCGUUCUCCUGCCUCAGCCGCCUGAGUAGCUGGGAACACAAGCGCCCACCACCACGCCCAGCUAAUUUUUGUAUUUUUAGUAGAGACGGGGUUUCACCGUGUUAGCCAGGAUGGUCUCAAUCUCCUGACCUCGUGAUCCACCUGCCUCAGCCUCCCAAAGUGCUGGGAUUACAGGCGUGAGCCACCACGCCCAGCCUAUUUGUUUCAUUUUUUAAAAUUGGACUGAACCUUAGGAGAAAACAGAAAAUUGUACUACAUUCUUGCAUAGCUAGCUAAUGUAAAUAGCUUCAAGCAACAAACUAGAUAUUAUUGAUCCGUUUCAAAAGAGCUGAGUCAGGCUGGACACGGUGGCUCAUGCCUGUAAUCCCAGCACUUUGAGAGGCCAAGGCAGGCGGAUCACCUGAGGUCAGGAGUUGGAGACCAGCCUGGCCAAUGUGGUGAAACCCCAUGUCUACAACAAAAAAAUACAAAAAUUAGCUGGGCAUGGUGGCGCGUGCCCAGCUACUGUAGUAGUCCCAGCUACUGGGGAGGCUGAGGCACAAGAAUCGCUUGAACCCGGUAGGUGGAAGUUGCAGUGAGCCAAGCAGAGAUUGCACCACUGCACUCCAGCCUGGGCUGGAGUUUUUGUUUCCAUCUCGAAAAAAAAAAAAAAGAACUGAGUCAGAUUCUGACUUGUCUAACGGACUCAGUCGUGAUGUUUUGCCUGUCUGCUCCAAGUUCCCCUGUUCCAGACACAUCUCUCACAGCAUUACAAUGAUCUACAUGCCCUAGGAAUAGCGACUUUCCAUCAUCUGCCUCAUCAGAGCAAAUAGUGUAAGUGGCAAUGACGUUAGUGUUUGUGUGUGUGAAAACCUAGUGCGAAUUUUCCCCUUUCUCUGGCAAAAGCUCACAAGCCAUCAUUAUAGAAAAGCAGAAGAAAAAACUGCUUGUUCUGCUUUUCCUGACCUCAGAAGCAGUAGUUGUUAAAACUCUUUAAAAAAAAAAAAAAAAGGGGGGGUCUUGCUAUGCUGCCCAGACAGGUCUCCAUCUCCUGGGCUCAAGCAGAGCUGGGACUACAGGCACACCACCACACCAAGCAAAACUGUCUUUUGAUUUAAAAUUACUUAAAUACUUCUUUAAGGGUCUCCUGUAGUCACUUAUCUUCCAGUUACCUAAAUCACUAACUUCUUUUUUUUUUUCCUUCAGAGACCCCCCCAAAGUCACAUCCGUUGCAAUUAUCGGGCAGGUACUGCCCUCUAGUGUUUAUACUUUUAUAAUAAAAAUUUUACACACUACCCUUUUAACUGACCUCAAAGCAUGGAAAAUCUGUCAAAAACCUAAAUAAUAUCCUAUUAACCCAAGAUUUUUCACCUUCACACUACUGGCAUUCUGAUCACCCUUUGUUGCGGGGCUGUCUUGUGCACUGUGGGACGUUUGGCAGCACCCCUGGCAUCUCCCCACUUGAUGCAGUAGCACUCCCACACACAUCCCGGUGUGACAACCAAAAAUAUCUCCAGACACAGCUAAAUGUCCCCAGGGGAACAAAAUCACCCCUGCUUGAGAUCCACUGUAUUAGUCUAAAGGUUGUCCAAAACAUUCACAUUAGACCUGAAAAUUGUAAGGGAAAAGGGCUUCUCUGGGCUAAUUCCUUUGAAUGAGAUAAAGAACUUCAUUUCUGCAUGAAAAACAAGGAGGUAGAGAAUUAAGAUUUUCAGCUCCCCGCCUCCACGUACCCGCAAAGUCCUGGCCAUUGGGACAUUUUUUAUGCCUUUAGCUUUCUGUUGCAGCUUUACCUCUUAGACCUCUUCACUUCCUUUCAAAGUGCAUCACAAACAAAGCUUGCCCUUCUAGCCAAAUGCAGAGAAUGUGGUAGGGAAAAGGAAGAAGGGAGGUCUGAGCAUUUGUACUCAAAAAAAGGGCUCUGGCUAGAUGUGGUGACUCAUGCCUGUAAUCCCGGCACUUUGGGAGGCUGAGGUGGGCAGGAGUUCAAGACCAGCCUUGGCAACAUGGCAAAACCCCAUCUCUACUAAAAAUACAAAAUUAGCCGGGUUCAAUGGCAGGUGCUUGUAGUCCCAGCUAUUCUGGAGGCUAAGGCACGAGAAUCCCUUGAGCCUAGGGGGCAGGGAGGCUGCAGUGAGCCAAGAUUGCCCCACUGCACUCCAGCCUGGGCAACAGAGCAAGACUCUGUCUCAAAAAAAAAAAAAAAAGGAGGGGGGGCUCUAGCAUUAAUAAUGCAGCCAACCAGGAACCUGAAUUGAUUGUCAGCCUAAUAUGAAAAUUCUUAUCAAAUAUCAAAAUAAGUUUCAAAUCUGGCUUUUAGAAAGACAUUUAGGAGGGUUUAUUCCAAUCUGCUAUGAAUGAUUAUUCUUCAUACAAAUGCAUUAUGCUUAUAAACCUUGGUUCUGUGAUUUUUUUUUUUUUUUCCAGACGGAGUCUCACUCUGUCUCCCAGGCUGGAGUGCAGUGGCACGAUCUCAGCUCACUGCAACCUCCGUCUCCCGGGUUCAAGCAAUUCUCCUGCCUCAGCCUCCCAAGUAGCUGGGAUUACAGAUGUCCGCCACCACACCUGGCUAAUUUUUGUAUUUUUAUUAGAGACGGGGUUUCACCAUGUUGGCCAGGAUGGUCAUGAUCUCUUGACCUCGUGAUCCGCCUGCCUCAGCCUUCCAAAGUGCUGGGAUUACAGGUGUAAGCCACCGUGCCCGGCUAGUUCUAUGAAUUUUAACACUUGCAAAUUACUGAGAACUUGAUAUUUAAAAAAUAAAAAAGGAGUUUGGACUGUCACUAACUUCCUCCCCUCAUCAAAUUUCUCACUGACUUAGUUGAUUUCACUGAAGAACUAAACAAAAAAUAAGAAUAAUCGGGCCAGGAGCAGUGGUUCAUGCCUGUAAUCCCAGCAGUUUGGGAGGCUGAGACAGGUGGAUUACUUGAGGCCAGGAGUUUGCGACCAGCCUGGGCAACAUGGUGAAACCCCGUCUCUAUUAAAAAUACAAAAAAAUUAGCCAGGCUUGGUGGUGCAUGCCUGUAAUCCCAGUUUCUGGGGAGGCUGAGGCACGAGAAUCAUUUGAGUCUGGGAGGCGGAGGUUGCAGUGAGCAACCUGUAUCAAAAAAAUAAUAAUUUUUUUCUGUCUCAAAAAAUAAUAAUUUUUUUUUUGAGACAGAGUCUCGCUCUGUCGCCCAGGCUAGAGUGCAGUGGUGCAACCUCUGCUCACUGCA